rnacentral:rRNA from 1 species
UGGGGAAUAUUGCACAAUGGGGGAAACCCUGAUGCAGCGACGCCGCGUGAGCGAAGAAGGCUUUCGAGUCGUAAAGCUCUGUCCUAUGAGAAGAUAAUGACGGUAUCAUAGGAGGAAGCCCUGGCUAAAUACGUGCCAGCAGCCGCGGUAAUACGUAGGUCCCGAGCGUUGUCCGGAUUUAUUGGGCGUAAAGCGAGCGCAGGCGGUUAGAAAAGUCUGAAGUGAAAGGCAGUGGCUCAACCAUUGUAGGCUUUGGAAACUGUUUAACUUGAGUGCAGAAGGGGAGAGUGGAAUUCCAUGUGUAGCGGUGAAAUGCGUAGAUAUAUGGAGGAACACCGGUGGCGAAAGCGGCUCUCUGGUCUGUAACUGACGCUGAGGCUCGAAAGCGUGGGUAGCAAACAGG